rnacentral:tRNA from 1 species
GCCUGGGUGGCUCAGUCGGUUGAGCGUCUGACUUCGGCUCAGGUCACAAACUCGCCGUUCGUGAGUUCGAGCCCCGCGUCGGGCU